AGAACGAACGCUGGCGGCAGGCCUCAAACAUGCAAGUCUAGGGGGGUGUAGCAAUACAUCACCGGCGGACGGGUGCGUAACACGUGGGAAUAUACCUUUUGGUUCGGAACAACGCAGGGAAACUUGCGCUAAUACCGAAUGUGCCCUUACGGGGGAAAGAUUUAUCGCCAAAGGAUUAGCCCGCGUAGGAUUAGCUAGUUGGUGAGGUAAUGGCUCACCAAGGCUCCGAUCCUUAGCUGUUCUGAGAGGAAGAUCAGCCACACUGGGACUGAGACACGGCCCAGACUCCUACGGGAGGCAGCAGUUGGGAAUCUUGGACAAUGGGGAAACCCUGAUCCAGCCAUGCCGCGUGAGUGAUGAAGGCCUUCGGGUUGUAAAACUCUUUCGACGGGGACGAUAAUGACGGUACCCGUAGAAGAAGCUCCGGCUAACUUCGUGCCAGCAGCCGC
rnacentral:rRNA from 1 species